UGGGGAUCCAAACUCAAGUAAUUUAAGUAUAUAGAUCCGGUUCCCUUAUCCACUGAGCCAUCUCCUCAGCCUUCCAAAAUACUUUUUUUUUUCUUUUGAGACAAGGUCUCACUCUGUAGAUCUGACUAGUCUGGAACUCACCAUGUAGACCAGACUAAUCUGAAACUCCCAGAGAUGUGUCUGCCCCUGGGUGCUGGGAUUGACUGGUAAGCUGUCUUGACAGGUUCACUGAAAACCAGCAAUGGAGGAAGCCUUCGCUUAAAGGAAGAGCACCUUCAUUAGGAAGCCUUUGCUCAAAGGCACAGCACCUUCAGCACAGUUGAGUGCACCGCCCUCUGCUGGAAACACACAGAGUUCACACCUACCGACCCUUCCGUCCUUACUGAAAAGUGUUCCUAAAUGGACUUUUCAGAUGGUCUGGGAGAGACAUGCUGCACUUCAAAUGCAUCUGGGAAACUAAUCUUACCCGGAGCACUGUGACCGGCAAAGGGGUUGCUUUAGGCCAGACCUCUUCAACAUUUUUCAGGCAGUCGACAUGCUUAGUCUACUUCACGGAUGUCAAUCUCCCUGAGAAUCAUUUGGCAGCCACAGGUUCUGUUAACUCCUCUGUAGCACAGCUGGUGGGCCAGAUACCCUCAUCAGCCGAAAGCCUGCAGAUGCCGUGUUUCUACCGCCGUGUACACCCUUUCGUGUUGGGUGAACUGGAAGACUUGGAUCCAAGGGAGCCUUCGGAAUAACUCCAUGGACAGACAACCCUCUCCACACACAGAGGGUAAGCUGAAGAGCACUGCCCUCGUGGUGUUUCCAGAAUAUCAAUAAUCAAUAGUCAUAUCCUUGACUGUGGACGUUGUCCCUGCCUGCCUCUUAAAGAGUAGGGUGAUGUGGCCUGCGGCUGCCCCGUUGGUGGGCAGGUGAGAUGCCUACCUGCCGUUCUGUCUCUUGCCCAGAACAGUCUACAUGCCCAGCGUUCUUUAAAUCACACACUUGGUGGUGGGAUGCUAUACCCAUGUCCAGGCUAAUCUUCUUCAUCUGCAUUUUGAAAAUCACAUGUCUUUUGUGAACUGCUGCUCAACUGUCCAAGCCUCCAGAUGCUCACCAGCACUUGACAUUCCAUUAACUGUUUCCUUAGGAACUACUUAACUUAGUUCUUGUCACAUUUGACUUUGGCUGACUGGGACAGACCCCUUUUCUUUCCUUCUUCACUGUUUUUGUACUUCUUAAACCCCAUUUUCACAUAACUAUCACUUCCCACCAUGUGGCUCAGCAAAGCCAGCAAAGCUCCAGCCUAGGAGAUCCCUGUUGGCUCAACCUCUCUUAACUCUCUGGUAAGCACAGUCUUAUUUGGCAUGGUGUUUGGGCAUCAGAGGCUGUCUUCCUCAUCCCUGGCUCUGUCAGUAAUGCCUGUCCCUUUGUCUUCUUCUAGUUCCUGAUGGUUAUGGGGACUUCAGCCUGUAACAGCCUAGUGUCCCUUAUGGCUCCCAUGAGCUAGUAUGCCAGGGCCUGAGUCACCUCAUGUUUCCUUAGGCAUUGCAGCCUUCCUAGUGAGGUGCGAUGGGCAGUUUCUCUGUUCCCAUGGUACUCGAACUGGUUUUUCCCAUUCCAUGUCCAGCCUCAGGGGCGAGGCUGUGAGAAGCUUUUGGAGUGCACUCCAAAGUCUUUCCCUACCUAAGCAGUUCAGAGACAGAACAUGCCUGGCCCAUCAUGGUUCUCUGCACUGGUCCGUCACUAAGUCUCACA
ensembl:lncRNA